UACGUAGGGGGGCAAGCGUUGUCCGGAUUUAUUGGGCGUAAAGAGCGUGUAGGCGGCCUGACAGGUCUGCUGUGAAAACUCGAGGCUCAACCUCGAGAUGUCGGCGGAAACCGUCUGGCUAGAGUCCGGAAGAGGAGAGUGGAAUUCCUGGUGUAGCGGUGAAAUGCACAGAUAUCAGGAAGAACACCUAUGGCGAAGGCAGCUCUCUGGGACGGUACUGACGCUGAGACGCGAAAGCGUGGGGAGGCGAACAG
rnacentral:rRNA from 1 species